ACUCCUACGGGAGGCAGCAGUGGGGAAUUGUUCACAAUGGGCGCAAGCCUGAUGACGCAACGCCGCGUGGGGGAUGAAGGUCUUCGGAUCGUAAACCCCUGUCGAAUGGGACGAAAGACUCGCGAGUUAAUACUUUGCGAGAGUGACGGUACCGUUAAAGGAAGCCACGGCUAACUCUGUGCCAGCAGCCGCGGUAAUACAGAGGUGGCAAGCGUUGUUCGGAAUUACUGGGCGUAAAGGGCGAGUAGGCGGCCUUCUAAGUCAGACGUGAAAUCCCCCGGCUUAACCUGGGAACUGCGUCUGAUACUGGGAGGCUUGAGUAUGGGAGAGGGAUGUAGAAUUCCAGGUGUAGCGGUGAAAUGCGUAGAUAUCUGGAGGAAUACCGGUGGCGAAGGCGGCAUCCUGGACCAUUACUGACGCUGAAUCGCGAAAGCUAGGGGAGCAAACGGGAUUAGAUACCCCGGUAGUCCUAGCCCUAAACGAUGAAUUCUUGGUGUGGCGGGUAUCGAUCCCUGCCGUGCCGAAGCUAACGCAUUAAGUAUUCCGCCUGGGGAGUACGGUCGCAAGGCUGGAACUCAAAGGAAUUGACGGGGGCCCGCACAAGCGGUGGAGCAUGUGGUUCAAUUCGACGCAACGCGAAGAACCUUACCUGGGCUCGAAAUGCAGAUGACAUCCGGUGAAAGCCGGCUCCCGCAAGGGCAUCUGUAUAGGUGCUGCAUGGCUGUCGUCAGCUCGUGUCGUGAGAUGUUGGGUUAAGUCCCGCAACGAGCGCAACCCUCGUCCUCUGUUGCCAUCAGGUCAAGCUGGGCACUCUGAGGAGACUGCCGGUGAUAAACCGGAGGAAGGUGGGGAUGACGUCAAGUCAGCAUGGCCUUUAUGUCCAGGGCCACACACGUGCUACAAUGGCGGAUACAAAGCGCUGCAAACCCGCGAGGGUGAGCCAAUCGCAUAAAGUCCGUCUCAGUUCGGAUUGUAGGCUGCAACUCGCCUGCAUGAAGUUGGAAUCGCUAGUAA
rnacentral:rRNA from 1 species